CAGGAAUGAUGGAUUGCAAGAAAGCCCUCUCAGAGACUGGAGGGGAUAUCAUUAAAGCUCAGGAGUUACUCAGGAAGAAAGGAUUAGCAAGUGCAGAAAAGAAAGCCAGCAGAGCCACAGCUGAAGGAAGAAUUGGCUCUUACAUUCAUGAUAGCAGGAUUGGAGUCCUUGUAGAGGUGAACUGUGAAACAGAUUUCGUCUCCCGGGGUGACAUUUUCAAGGAGCUGGUAGAUGACAUAGCCAUGCAGGUGGCAGCAUGCCCUCAAGUACAGUACCUUGCUACUGAAGAUGUUCCCGAAGUGAUUGUGAACAAGGAAAAAGAAAUUGAGAUGCAGAAAGAAGAUCUCCUAUCAAAACCUGAGCAGAUCAGAUCAAAGAUUGUAGAAGGACGAAUCAGGAAGAGACUCGAGGAGCUGGCAUUGCUGGAACAGCCGUAUAUUAGGAAUGAUAAGAUUGUGAUAAAGGACUGGGUGAAACAGACAAUUGCAACUAUUGGAGAAAAUAUAAAAGUGAAGAGGUUUAUUCGCUACAAUCUUGGUGAGGGCUUGGAGAAGAAAAGUCAGGAUUUUGCUGCUGAGGUAGCUGCACAAACUGCAGCAAAACCAGUUACUGCACCAGCAACAGAGCAGCCUGCUCCAGCAGAAGCGAAGGAAACUAUUCAGAAGCCACCAACAGUAACAGUUUCUGCUGCACUUGUUAAACAACUGAGAGAAGAAACAGGAGCUGGUAUGAUGGACUGCAAGAAAGCGCUGUCCGAAACUGGAGGAGACCUUGAGAAGGCACAGGAGUAUCUCAGAAAGAAAGGUCUUUCAACUGCCGACAAGAAAUCUAGUCGGCUUGCAGCUGAAGGCAGAAUUGGCUCCUAUAUUCAUGAUUCCCGCAUUGGAGUUCUGAUUGAAGUCAACUGUGAAACUGACUUUGUGGGUAGAAGUGAAAAAUUCAAGGAAAUGGUUGAUGAUCUAGCCAUGCAAGUUGUGGCAUGCCCACAGGUGCAGUUUGUGUCCAUUGAGGAUGUCCCAGAGAGCAUUGUGAAGAAGGAGAAGGAGCUUGAGAUGCAAAGAGAAGACCUUUUGUCGAAACCAGAGAACAUAAGAGAGAAGAUUGUUGAGGGCAGAGUCUCAAAGAGACUUGGGGAGCUUGCUCUUCUAGAGCAACCCUUCAUCAAGAAUGAUAGUGUUUUGGUGAAAGACUUAGUGAAGCAGACUGUUGCUGCUCUUGGGGAGAACAUAAAAGUGCGGAGGUUUGUUCGAUUUACUCUUGGGGAGAGCACUGAAGAUGAGAAAACACAAACUGAAGCCUGAGGAAAAAAAAAUGUCAGUUUUUUGGUGCCUUUGUGUCUGCUAUAUAUCUCUCUCUUCAAUUUUCAUAAUUCAUAUGGUUUUAUGAUAUGUUUUUUGAACAAUAAUUAAUGGGAUCAAACAGGCUAGCUAUUUCAUUUUAAUUACAGUCAGUGCAGUAUCUUAUGUGUUCCGGCUUUUCACAAAACAUAUCAUAAAACCAUAUGAAUUAU
rnacentral:misc_RNA from 1 species